CCUUUUAAAAUUCAUUAUAAUUUUUUGGCUACCUCUGUUUUUUUCCAAAUUCCAUUUUCUUGUUUUUGUUUUUCCAGUUUUUCUGCUUUACCAGUUUUUUUUUUAACACUUUUUAAUCUGAGACUCUGAUCAUGUGAUGAGUUCCCAAAUCAGAUGCCCACUUGUGCUGCCACUGGACAGCGGAAAAUCAAGUUGGAACCAACAUACAGUACCUCCAGCAGGAAGAGAAGCACGAACCAUUGGUCCACCAGCUCAGGGACAAGCUGCACAACCAUUGGUCCACCAGCUCAGGGACAAGCUGCACAACCAUUGGUCCACCAGCUCAGGGACAAGCUGCACAACCAUUGGUCCACCAGCUCAUGGACAAGCUGCACAACCAUUGGUCCACCAGCUCAGGAACAAGCUGCACAACCAUUGGUCCACCAGCUCAGGGACAAGCUGCACAACCAUUGGUCCUCCAGCUCAGGGACAAGCUGCACAACCAUUGGUCCACCAGCUCAGGGACAAGCUGCACUAUUCACAGCCCUGAGCAAUGUUCAAUGUAAUUGCAUUGCUGGAUGUUCUGAAACUUAAUGCAUUUGUAUUGUUUUAAAAAUGUACAAAUUAAAGGAAAUGUAUGGUUUAAA